GACGGAGGGGGCUAGCGUUGUCCGGAUUUACUGGGCGUAAAGGGCGCGUAGGCGGUUCUUUAAGUCGCCGGUGAAAUCGCUCGGCUUAACCGAGCAAUUGCCGGCGAUACUGAGGAACUUGAGUCCGGGAGAGGAGAGUGGAAUUGCCGGUGUAGCGGUGAAAUGCGUAGAUAUCGGCAAGAACACCAGUGGCGAAGGCGGCUCUCUGGACCGGUACUGACGCUGAGGCGCGAAAGCUAGGGGAG
rnacentral:rRNA from 1 species